UGGGGAAUAUUGGACAAUGGGGGCAACCCUGAUCCAGCAAUGCCGCGUGUGUGAAGAAGGCCUGCGGGUUGUAAAGCACUUUCAAUUGGGAAGAAAAGCUCAGGGAUAAUACCCCUGGGUCUUGACGUUACCUUUAGAAGAAGCACCGGCUAACUCCGUG
rnacentral:rRNA from 1 species